rnacentral:rRNA from 1 species
AACGAACGCUGGCGGCAUGCCUAACACAUGCAAGUCGAACGAGACCUUCGGGUCUAGUGGCGAACGGGUGCGUAACGCGUGGGAACCUGCCCUUAGGUUCGGAAUAACUCCCCGAAAGGGGUGCUAAUACCGGAUAAUGUCUUCGGACCAAAGAGUUAUCGCCUUUGGAUGGGCCCGCGUUGGAUUAGCUAGUUGGUAGGGUAAAAGCCUACCAAGGCGACGAUCCAUAGCGGGUCUGAGAGGAUGAUCAGCCACACUGGGACUGAGACACGGCCCAGACUCCUACGGGAGGCAGCAGUGGGGAAUAUUAGACAAUGGGCGAAAGCCUGAUCCAGCAAUGCCGCGUGAGUGAUGAAGGCCUUAGGGUUGUAAAGCUCUUUUACCCGGGAUGAUAAUGACAGUACCGGGAGAAUAAGCUCCGGCUAACUCCGUG